rnacentral:rRNA from 1 species
UACGUAGGCAGCGAGCGUUGUUCGGAGUUACUGGGCGUAAAGGGUGUGUAGGCGGUUGUUUAAGUUUGGUGUGAAAUCUCCCGGCUCAACUGGGAGGGUGCGCCGAAUACUGAAUGACUUCGAGUGCGGGAGAGGUGAGUGGAAUUCCUGGUGUAGCGGUGAAAUGCGUAGAUAUCGGGAGGAACACCGGUGGUGUAGACGGCUCACUGGACCGUAACUGACGCUGAGACACGAAAGCGUGGGUAGCAAACAGG